UUUUUUGUUCGCUUUCCCUCUGUGACUCUCAUCUCUGUCGCAGUACUUGCUCGACUGAGUCGACGACGUCGUCGUCGUCGUCGUCGUCGCCGUCGUCGUCGUCAGUGCCGCGUUCAAGGCGACCGGGCGCAACCAACCCCCGCGGGCAACCCAGUGACAGUUUUUUCUUUCUCUCGCUCCCUCUCGCUGCGCGUUUCCCGUGUACCGCGAGGGUGGACGCCGCGGGGCUCCGAGCCACCGAACAAAACCGGAAAACAAGAAACUCACCUUCAUCAAAUCCGCCAGACGACGUAAUUAGAGAGAAAAAUGAGCGAUUACGGUCGACGAGGAGGCGGAAGACGGGGCGACUUCGAGGACGAUUACGAUUACGAGCUGCCAAGGGAGAACGCGGGCGGAGGAGCUCGUCGUAGAACACGCGACGAGGGUUACGAUAUGAGGGGCGGGGGUGGGGGCGGAGGCGAUCACGGUGGUCCUGGCACCCUUCAACGGCUCGACAGCAUCCAGGAUCCUGGCAAGCGUUACAUGCUCAAUGACGUUAUCGGCUCCGGAGUUUGUGCCGACGUUUACGAGGCCGUGGACACUCAAGCCGGUAACAAGCGGGUAGCCGUCAAGGUCCAAAAACUCACGCCGGAGAGCCAAGCUCUGAUCGUCGAGGAGUACAGAGUCUUCAGAGACUUCGCCGGUCACCCAAAUCUGCCAGAUUUCUACGGGAUUUAUCGCAAGCGUUCGGGAAGGAAGGGGGAGUUUGAUCAAAUAUGGUUCGCCAUGGAGUACUGCGAGGGUGGCCCGGUGAUGGAUCUCGUCCGGGGGCUUGUGGCGAGCGACAAGAAGAUGCGCGAGGAACACAUCGCGUACAUCCUCAAGGAAGUCAUCAAGGCAUUGGUACAUCUGCACGAAAACAACGUAAUCCAUCGUGACGUUCAAGGGAGCAAUAUUUUAUUGACGAAAGAGGGUGAAGUGAGGCUCGUAGACUUUGGACUGACGCGUAUGAUAAAGGGGGAAAUGGGAAAACGCAACACGAGCAUCGGCUCGCCGUGCUGGAUGGCACCGGAAGUCGUGAUGAGCAACGCCGAGCCCCCGGUCGGUUACGGAAGUCGAGCGGACGUUUGGGCCAUCGGAAUAACCGCGAUCGAGCUCGCCGAUGGGAAGCCACCCUUCCAGGACAUGCAUCCGACUCGAGCGCUUUUCCAAAUCGUCAGAAAUCCACCCCCCGGACUCUACCGGCCCGCCAAUUGGUCACAGAAUUUCAAUGACUUUAUCGCCGAAUGUCUGGAGAAGAAUCCCGACAACAGACCAUUCAUGGCAGAAAUCAUGGAACAUCCUUUCCUUUCGGAACUACCAGAAAAUGAUUAUCCCUUGACCCAAGAGAUAAAAGCUCUGGCGCUGAACUACGGCGACAAGGGGAAAGUAGGUCGCAAACCAGACGUCAUCGUGCGCAAGGGAUUCUUAAAGACUCACCAAACCGAUGCGCCCGAACAAAUGUUGACGGAGGAUCUAGCGGCUCUGGAAAUCCUGACGGAAGAUGCUGUCCUGGACGAACUGCACGCUAGAUUGCGACGAGGAUAUUUUCACACGUUCAUCGGGGACGUGCUGCUCAUCAUUAAUCCCAACGAGAUUCAAGACAUUUACGGCCCCCACAUGCACGCAAAAUAUCAGUGCAAAUCGAGAUCCGACAAUGCGCCCCACAUUUAUUCAGUCGCUGACAGCGCCUUUCAAGAUGCUUUUCACAACGAGGAGCCUCAACAUAUUUUGUUGGCCGGCGAAUCUCAUUCUGGAAAAACGACCAACGUUCUCCACGUGGUUAAGCAUCUCAUGUACCUCGGCAAGGGCUUAACGGACACCGGAAACAGGGUGAUGAAAGCGAUGCAACUGAUCCACGCGUUCUGCCAUGCCGCAACGCCUUUGAAUCCGAACUCAACGAGAUGCGUCCUUCAAACCCAAACGACUUUUGGCUCGACUGGAAAAGCCUCGGGCGCGAUAUUCUGGCUUUAUCAGCUCGAAAAGUGGCGAGUUUCCACGCGCGAUCGAAAUCAAUCGAAUUUUCAUAUUUUCUACUACUUCUACGACGGCCUCGAAGCUACGAACAAAUUGCGCCAAUACUCGCUGACGCCCGGUCGUAAGUUUCGUUACAUGAGGAUCGGCGACAAGAGUACAGGGAACAAGAGAUCGUUCAAAGUGCGAAACGACCCGGCCGGCAAUAGCUUGAAAUACAGUGAAAUGAGGGAGAUUUUGAAGCUCAUGGAGAUGGAGGAACACGAGCAAGUUAUUUGGAAAACCCUCGCGGCUAUUUUGAUCCUCGGUGAAGUUAAAUUCACCGAGGGUAACAACGGCGAGGCCGAAGUCGAGAGCGUCGACACCGCCGAAAUAGUUGCUGAUCACCUGGGCUUGGAUUCGAAAAAAUUCAUUUGGUCGCUGACGAAUUAUUGCCUGAUAAGAAAAGGUGCCGCGGUUCGUCGUCGACACACGUGUGAAGAAGCUCGGGAGGCAAGAGACGUGCUGGCGAACACUCUUUACCAGCGUCUCGUAGACUGGCUGGUCAAUAAUAUCAACGAAAAGUUGACAGUGACUCGAGCACUUUUUGGCGACAAAUUCAGCAUCAGCAUUCUCGAUCUCUUCGGCUUCGAGUGUUUCGCCGUCAACAGGAUCGAGCAGCUGGUCGUGAACACGAUGAACGAGCAAUUGCAGUGCCACUACAAUCAGAGGAUAUUCGCCUGGGAAAUGCAAGAGCAACAAGAGGAAGAAAUCCCGGUGCAGCAGCUACACUUCUACGACAACAAGGCAGCGAUAGAUCAGUUGAUGGGCAAGAGCGAUGGUCUUUUCCACAUAAUUGACGAGGCCUCGAGACAGUUGCAGGACGCUCAAUACAUUCUGGAAAAAAUAAAUCGUCGUUCAAAAAACAUGAACGUCAAAUCGGUCGGGACUCACGAGUUCACCGUCGCUCAUUACACUGGAAAACUUAUAUACGACGCGAGCGAAAUAUCUGAGAAGAAUCGUGACUUCGUGCCCCCUGAAAUGAUCGAGACGUUCAGACUCUCGACUUCGAACCACGUCAAAUCGAUGUUCGUCAACGCAUUGACCAAGUCAGGCAACCUGACCAUUGUCGUCGACCACCCCAAGCCGGUCGAGAAGAAAACUCCGAAGAGCAAAUGGGGUUGCCUCAUGCAAGAAACUCACAAAAUAAGGAAAUACAACACCGCAUCGAGGGGUCAAUUUUCUCAGACCCGGAAAAUGCGAACUUGCGCAGCAACCUUUCGCUCGACGAGUCUGGAAAUACUGAAGAAUCUCUCGGUCGGUGGUGGCAGCGGUGGAACUCAUUUCGUUCGCUGCAUCAGAGCCGAUCUCGAGGGCAAGCCCAAAGGAUUUUAUCGGGAAGUCGUGAAACAGCAAAUCCGAGCUCUCGCGAUACUCGACACGGCGAAAGCUCGGCAACGUGGUUACCCGCACAGGAUACCCUUCCAGGAGUUUCUUCGGAGAUACAAAUUCCUGGCGUUCGAUUUCGACGAGAACGUGGACAUGACGAAGGACAACUGUCGCCUGCUGCUCAUCAGGCUCAAAAUGGAAGGUUGGGUAAUCGGAAAAACCAAAGUUUUUCUCAAAUACUACAACGAAGAAUAUUUGUCGCGUUUGUACGAGACGCAGGUGAAAAAAAUCGUCAAAGUCCAGUGCAUGCUGCGAGCUUUCCUAGCGCGCAAAGCAACCAAAAGCACGAAAGCAGUCAAGAAAGAACUUGCGAAGAAAGCGUCGAUCCAGAGGACGGCGACGCAGGACAUAUCCGACGAACAAGCUGCGGUGAUGAUACAGAAAGCAUACCGGGGUCAUGCGGUGAGGAAAGAGCUGGGCCCGGUCCUGAAGGGGGGGGAGCUGGAUCAGGGGACGAAGGACUUCAUGAGGUAUUACAGCAGCAAAUGGAGGUCGAAGAGCAUGUUUCAAGUCCUCCUACAGUACCGUGCAGCCCGUUAUCAAGACCUCGUGCAAUUUUCGCAGCAAGUCCAUCUUUACAGUCAAGCAUUGCAAGCGAAUCUGCAGACGACGAUUGAGCGCGUGCCUCUAGAAAGAAUAGACCCAGGCAUGAAAGUGUCAGCUUAUCUAGGCCAGUCGAAACCCCCCCAAGUUAACAAAUUGCCGUUCAACAUUCAUCAAGAGUUUCCAUACUUCGAUUCUUCAUACAUGAACGAUCCGAGAAAGGCACAUUCGAAGAGAGGAGGAGCUGGAUCUGUGACAUCCUCAGCGUCUGACGACGAACACGAGGCCUGGGACGCACCGUUGCGGAGACAAACCGUGCCUUGGGCCAACGACAACGUUCAUACGAGAGGGACCCGAAUGUCCCAGUGCGAUGCCCCCCGGAAGAAGUGCCAAAGUCGAGGCAAGAUUCCGUUUAUCAACCUACAACCAGCAGCCGUACUAAGCUACCAUUGGCUCCUAACGCUCAUCAUUCUCGCUCAAAUAACUACGAUGGCACCGGAUCGUUACGUUCGAGGAAGAAAGUACCACCGCCACCGAUACCGAUAAACGCAAUGGCUGCAUCGAGCCGCGGUUACGGUGGUCAAAAUUUCGAUGCUCCGAGCAGAAAUAAUGAGCAGCAAUGGGACUAUGGCGAUAGAAUGCAAAGUAGAGAAUUCCCGGGCGAAAAUCGGGUGAAUCCUAUUCAAGAGAUGCAACGGAUCGGUCGUAGAAACAACAACAACGACGACGAAGAGGACGAACCACCUUUCAACUUUCAG
rnacentral:misc_RNA from 1 species